UCCUUCCACAUAUUUUCUCUAAAUGACGAAAAUACCCUUAGAGUUUGCCCCUCGGCUUUUCCAAACCCUAGCAUCAUAAAUAUCGUAGCAAACCCCCCACACCCUCCUUGAAGCCGCUCAGCGAGCAGAUCGGCGAAGCGAUGAGGGCCAAGUGGAAGAAGAAGCGCAUGAGGAGACUCAAGAGGAAGCGCCGAAAGAUGAGGCAGAGAUCCAAGUAGGUGAUGAAGGUAUCAGCAUCCUUGAUUCCGCAUCUCACAGAAUGUGGUGGUGUCUCUCCUGAUUCUUCCGCCUGAUGUUGAGUGUGUUAAUAGGAGGCGAAACCACCUUCUGUCCCUUGAUUGCUUGUUCAGAACUUAGAAUAUUUUGCUUAGCAGAUUAAUGUUCUUGUGUUUUGUUUGACAAUUGAGAAUUUGUUGAAGGCAUUUUAUUCUGAAACAAUUCAACGUUGACUUCUGGUUUCCAUCAAGAUUUGUUUGGAAAUAUUUGUGCCCUUAGUGAAUUUGUAUAUGCUAUUUCCUA